rnacentral:rRNA from 1 species
AGGAAUAUUGGUCAAUGGGCGCGAGCCUGAACCAGCCAAGUAGCGUGAAGGAUGAAGGUCCUACGGAUUGUAAACUUCUUUUAUAAGGGAAUAAAGUCACCCACGUGUGGGUGUUUGUAUGUACCUUAUGAAUAAGCAUCGGCUAACUCCGUGCCCAGCAGCCGCGGUAAUACGGAGGAUGCGAGCGUUAUCCGGAUUUAUUGGGUUUAAAGGGAGCGUAGACGGGUCGUUAAGUCAGCUGUGAAAGUUUGAGGCUCAACCUUAAAAUUGCAGUUGAUACUGGCGUCCUUGAGUACGGUUGAGGCAGGCGGAAUUCGUGGUGUAGCGGUGAAAUGCUUAGAUAUCACGAAGAACCCCGAUUGCGAAGGCAGCCUGCUAAACCGCCACUGACGUUGAGGCUCCAAAGUGUGGGUAUCAAACAGGAUUAGAUACCCUGGUAGUCCACACGGUAAACGAUGGAUACUCGCUGUUGGCGAUAGACUGUCAGCGGCUUAGCGAAAGCGUUAAGUAUCCCACCUGGGGAGUACGCCGGCAACGGUGAAACUCAAAGGAAUUGACGGGGGCCCGCACAAGCGGAGGAACAUGUGGUUUAAUUCGAUGAUACGCGAGGAACCUUACCCGGGCUUGAAUUGCAGACGAAUUGCUUGGAAACAGGCAAGCCGCAAGGCGUCUGUGAAGGUGCUGCAUGGUUGUCGUCAGCUCGUGCCGUGAGGUGUCGGCUUAAGUGCCAUAACGAGCGCAACCCUCGUGUCCAGUUACUAGCAGGUUAUGCUGAGGACUCUGGACAGACUGCCAUCGUAAGAUGUGAGGAAGGUGGGGAUGACGUCAAAUCAGCACGGCCCUUACGUCCGGGGCUACACACGUGUUACAAUGGGGGGUACAGCAGGCAGCUACCGGGCGACCGGAUGCCAAUCCCGAAAGCCUCUCUCAGUUCGGACUGGAGUCUGCAACCCGACUCCAUGAAGCUGGAUUCGCUAGUAAUCGCGCAUCAGCCACGGCGCGGUGAAUACGUUCCCG